CCUGGGCCCCGCCCCCUCCCCCCUGGCCCUCGCCACCGGUCCAGGGAGGGGACGGUGGGACAGGCGGGACCGGUGGGACCGGCGGGAGGGCGGACCGGGCGGGGGUAUGGCCGCGGCGCCCGGAGGGUCUGCGCCGCCCGCCGGCCCCGGCCCGCGCCUGGGUUUCAGCACCGCGGACAGCGGCGUCGGCAUGAGCGGGCUAAACCCAGGUCCUGCCGUGCCCAUGAAGGACCACGACGCCAUCAAGCUCUUCGUGGGGCAGAUCCCGCGGGGCUUGGACGAGCAGGACCUCAAGCCGCUGUUCGAGGAGUUCGGCCGCAUCUACGAGCUGACGGUGCUGAAGGACCGGCUCACCGGCCUCCACAAAGGCUGUGCCUUCCUCACCUACUGCGCCCGGGACUCUGCUCUCAAGGCUCAGAGUGCACUGCACGAGCAGAAGACCCUGCCAGGGAUGAAUCGUCCGAUCCAAGUGAAGCCGGCUGCCAGUGAGGGCCGAGGAGAGGACCGAAAGCUGUUUGUGGGGAUGCUGGGGAAGCAGCAGGGUGAGGAGGACGUCAGACGCCUGUUCCAGCCCUUCGGCCAUAUCGAGGAGUGCACCGUCUUGCGGAGCCCUGAUGGCACCAGUAAAGGCUGUGCCUUUGUGAAGUUUGGGAGUCAGGGGGAAGCUCAGGCGGCCAUCCAGAGUCUGCACGGCAGCCGGACCAUGGCGGGUGCGUCGUCCAGCCUCGUGGUCAAGCUGGCGGACACAGACCGGGAGCGCGCGCUGCGGCGGAUGCAGCAGAUGGCGGGCCAGCUGGGCGCCUUCCACCCGGCGCCGCUGCCGCUCGGGGCCUGCGGAGCCUACACCACGGCGAUCCUGCAGCACCAGGCGGCCCUGCUGGCGGCGGCGCAGGGCCCGGGCCUAGGCCCGGUGGCCGCAGUGGCGGCACAGAUGCAGCACGUGGCGGCCUUCAGCCUGGUGGCCGCGCCGCUGUUGCCCGCGGCAGCAGCUAGCUCCCCGCCCGGCGGCGGCCCGGGCACGCUUCCUGGUCUUCCGGCGCCCAUCGGGGUCAAUGGAUUCGGCCCCCUGACCCCCCAGACCAACGGACAGCCGGGCUCCGACACUCUCUACAGUAAUGGGCUCUCCCCUUACCCAGCCCAGAGUCCCGGCGUGGCUGACCCCCUGCAGCAGGCCUACGCUGGGAUGCACCACUACGCAGCAGCCUAUCCGUCGGCCUAUGCCCCCGUGAGCACAGCUUUCCCCCAGCAGCCUUCAGCCCUGCCCCAGCAGCAAAGAGAAGGCCCCGAAGGCUGUAACCUCUUCAUCUAUCACCUGCCUCAGGAGUUCGGUGAUGCAGAACUCAUACAGACAUUCCUACCCUUUGGAGCUGUUGUCUCUGCCAAAGUCUUUGUGGAUCGAGCCACCAACCAGAGCAAGUGUUUUGGGUUUGUUAGCUUUGACAAUCCAACCAGUGCCCAGACAGCUAUUCAGGCCAUGAAUGGCUUUCAAAUUGGCAUGAAGAGGCUCAAGGUCCAGCUAAAGAGGCCCAAAGAUGCCAACCGGCCUUACUGAUCUACUCUCACUGACCAGCCACAGAAAGGACUGAGACAAAUUAGACGACCCUCCUGCCCUCACAGUCUGGGAGAGACAAUUACAGCAAGAUCCAACCAGUUCUACUCCAGAGAAACUGGGGAGUGAGAAGAAAGGAAAGGAAAAGCACAGAAACGCUUGAGCAGCCCUUCAUGAAGGAGCAGCCACAGACGGAGGUGGAUCAGAUCCAAGGCCGGCACCUGGGGCUCAGGCCACUUGAAGGAUUGUUUUCAUCCGAGUGGGUUGUUUUGUGCCUGUGGCAUAGAGCUCAGGCUGGCAAGACAACUGGGGCUGGCUGAGGAUUGACUGUCUAGGGAACCAGCAGAGGGCCUUGGGGGUGCCAAGGGCUUCUCCACAAGGGAGGCCCAGAUUUGCUUCUUUGAAAAUCAUAUCAUUCCUUAGAGUUUAGGGACCAAAGGACUAUUGCUUUUUUAAGAAUAUAUAUAUCUAUAUAAAUUAAAACAAAGAAACAAACAAAAAAAACCACAAGAGAAACAAAAAAGACAGUAUAGAGUCUCAUAAAAGCUGCCUUUAAAUAUCCCUAGGAGCCAGGGUGAGGGAGACCCUUGAAAGCCCCAGCCUGGGCAGAGCGAGGCUGUGGAAAGAUUGUUCUGUGUCUCAUUCCCUCUUAAACUUCCCCCAACCCUCACCUUUUUAAAAUAAUUAAGGACUUGAGGUCUAGACUCAUAUACAGGUAAUAAGAGAGUUAUGAAGCAGUGAACCCACAAUCCUCAAACUCAGACAGCAUCCCUGAAGAGGACCCAGGAGGCGCUCUGGCCUGCUCUGGCCUCUACCACCCUGAGAGUCCUCCUAGCCAGCAGGAGUGGGAACCUGCCUUUCCUUCUUGACAGCCUUUCCUGUGGAACCACCGCUUCCCCAGGCAGGAAGAAAGGGAGAUUUGGCCACCCUAGCCUUUCCCUUCCCCAUCCAGAUAGACAGAGGCCCUGCCUUUGGCUGAGCCGAGACACCUCCUGUUUCCCCUCUCCUUGAGCCAGACCCUGUGUCCCCUUGCUCCAGGCCACCUUCUGUCUCUAAGUCUAAGUUUGCCCACCUGUAAAGUAGAUUCAGGAUAUAUGUAGAGGGCUGUGACAACAGACUAGGAAGGUUUGCUACUGUAUAUACUGCCAUUGAGAAGGGGGUAAUGUUCAAUAUGUAGAAGCUUCAGAAUUUAGAGGUCCCUCUUUACCUAGGACCUGGGAGGGAAGUAGAUGUUUUGCCAAAAUACUUCUUCAUUCCUUUAAAAAGUACAUCUUUCCUAUGCAAGAGUGUCUCACAUGUGCUUAUCCAAGGUGCUUCUAGAUGGUGAGCAGUGUUCAGCUUAGAAGUGGUAUGUGCUCUGUCUGUCUGUCUUUGUCUGUCUGUUGUAUACAGUGGGUGCCAUAUAAAGCUGAUCAAUGGUGGUGCUUCCUGCCUGCUUCUGUGAGAUGGGCAAAAGAUUCAGCUUAGAACACCACGACUCUCUUUGCCUUGGUCAGCCUUUCCUGGGCCUGCAGGGCUUGCACAUGUUUUUCCCAGGAGGAUAAUUUCCCCUCCACGCCAUAGACGUGGAUCAGACUAGUCUGGGGCCCCAGCUGUGUGAUGGGCACUCUGAUCCCCAGAUAUUGCUGAGGCUGGAAGCCUCUCAUCUGGUAUCACAUCAGACGGUAAAGGAUGUGGGGGUGGGGGUGGAGGGUUCCUCCUUCAUAACAGUUUCUAAGAAAACUUGUUCCCACUUAUUCCUCUGUCUUUGACUCAUUUUUGGAGGGAAUGGGAAUGAAAAAUAGAUACAAUAAUGACCUUACCAGGCAAGGUGUGGUAUAUACCAACAAAUAAUUUCCAACUGAGAGAGGAACCAGCACUAAGGGCAUCUGUACACGAGCACAAUGCUGACACAUAGACUGAUUACCCUGGACACAGAUGAAGAUAUGUAGCACCUGCACAUUCAAACAUAUAUUCACAUGGAGGUGCUAGGUACUAGUUGCUAAGCCCUUGCUAGGAGCUGGGGCUCAGGCAUGUUCUAAGUAGUCAGAGUUAGGGGGGAAGACAGUUAGGGGGGAAUGCAGUUAUAAUGGAGGGCCACACAGGGUCUGUGAUAGCAAGAAAACUACCUAAUUCAGACUUGAUUGGUAGGGGAGGUCAGAGAAAGAUUUCCUGAAGGAAAUUAAGGAGGGGAAGGGUCAUCGAGGAUGAACUGGGACCUUUGGACAAAGCCAUUUGGAUAGCUGCAUCAUUUUGAUAAAUUAUCUUUAUUACCAAGAAAUAAUAAUGAUACCAAUUAUUCAGUGCCUGUUAUGUGGUAGACAAUGGGCACAAGACAAGACCUUUUCCUAUCCCUAACUCUACCUGGAACUUUAACUCAUUGUCAAGUCACGUCAAGACCCUUGAACUAAAAUGGCAUUUAAAGUAGUUUGUUUCAUGAUUAGGCACUGGCAGACUGUGUGCCAAUGUGUAAGGAGUUGGCAGGGUCUAGAUUAGGGGUUGGCAAACUACGGCCUGUGGGCAAAUCUUACCUGCAGACUUUUUUUUGUAUGGCCUACAAAUUAAGAAUGGUUUUUACAUUUUUAAAGGGUUGUAAAAAUAAAACAAAACAAAAAAGAAUAUGAGACAGAGACCAUAUGUGUCCCACGAAGCCUAAAAUAUUUAUCUGGUCCUUUAAACAAAAAGUUUACCGACCCCUAUAAGAUCCUGGAAGACUUGUAUAAUGUCACUGAGUUUGAACAACAUGGUGUUUGUGUCUCUGUUGUGUGUGCAUGUAUUAGUCUGAACCCUUUCAGUUGCAGGUGUCAAAAACCCAACGCAAACAUGUUUAAGUCAAUAAGAAAUUAAUUGGCUUACAUAAUUGAUAAAUCAAAAGAUGUAUCUGCCUUCAGGCACAGCUGGAUCUAAGGGUCCAAAUGAUAAUAUCUCCAUCUCUUGGCUCUGCUUCCCGCUGUAUAUUGGCCUCACUAGUUCUAUCUCUAAAGUCCUAGGGAGGACCUUGGCCAGAAUGGACAUGUGCCACCUCUAGGGUGGAAGAGUAGGCCACCAUAGUUGACAACAUCACCAGGACUGUGCAGAGGGGAGAAAUGGGUCCCCAAAGGAAAGGAUGGUGGGCAGAUAAGCAAUAGGCAUCCACUACAUUCCACCCCUUUAUUGCUCAGCAUCCACCUAUACUUUUCUUGACAAACACAAUUUCAAAAAUGUGCCUGCCUAACAAUGCAAUGAUCUUAGGGCCAACAAAAAAACACCCACUUCCCAAUGGAAGACAAACCAGAAUCAUGUCCAGUUGCUUUAUCGAGCCCUCAGUCCAGGGUCUCUUUGUGAUGUGCAAUUCUUGAUCAGGUCUGGAUAUAACUUCUUAAGAUUUUGCAAUCUACAGCUAAAAAGGUAAAUUUAGCUGCCCUUACAUAACCAA